UACACAUUGCACGCUGCACACCAGUGAUUAUGAUUCAGUUCACAGGAAUUGAAAUUUCAGCCCUGAAAUUCCAGAGCUGGACUGGGCCCUAACAGAGAGAAAGGAAGAAGAAGAAAGUUUCAGCCUUCUGAGUACAGGAAAUAUAGGAUUUCCAGAUCAAG